rnacentral:rRNA from 1 species
UACAGAGGUCCCAAGCGUUGUUCGGAUUCAUUGGGCGUAAAGGGUGCGUAGGUGGCUCCGUAAGUCAGGUGUGAAAUCUCGGGGCUUAACUCCGAAACUGCAUUUGAUACUGCGGUGCUUGAGGACUGGAGAGGAGACUGGAAUUUACGGUGCAGCAGUGAAAUGCGUAGAGAUCGUAAGGAAGACCAGUGGCGAAGGCGGGUCUCUGGACAGUUCCUGACACUGAGGCACGAAGGCCAGGGGAGCAAACGGG